rnacentral:rRNA from 1 species
UACGUAGGGUGCGAGCGUUGUCCGGAAUUAUUGGGCGUAAAGGGCUCGUAGGCGGUUUGUCGCGUCGGGAGUGAAAUCCACUGGCUUAACUGGUGGCUUGCUUUCGAUACGGGCAGACUGGAGGUAUGCAGGGGAGAACGGAAUUCCUGGUGUAGCGGUGAAAUGCGUAGAUAUCUGGAGGAACACCGGUGGCGAAGGCGGCAUUCUGGACCAUAACUGACACUGAGAGACGAAAGCCAGGGGAGCAAACGGG